AGUGGGAUUACUGGUCAAAUGGUGGUUCCACUCCUAGUUUUUUGAGGAAUAUCCAUAGUGCUUUCCAGAGUGGUUGUACCAUUUGCAGUCCUACCAACAAU
rnacentral:pre_miRNA from 1 species